UAUGUGAUCGUCUCUCGCAUAUCAAUAAGCGGAGGAAAAGAACUAACAAGGAUUCCCCUAGUAACGGCGAGUGAAGCGGGAAGAGCUCAAAUUUGAAAUCUUAAAGGGUUUCCCUUUACGAAUUGUAGUUUAAAGAAGUGUUUUCUGUUGAGGUUUUGGUAAAAGUUCUUUGGAAUAGGACAUCAUAGAGGGUGAGAAUCCCGUAUUUGACCUUUACUUUCAACUUUGUGAUACACUUUCAAAGAGUCGGAUUGUUUGGGAAUGCAGUCCAAAAUGGGUGGUAAAUUUCAUCUAAAGCUAAAUAUUGGCGAGAGACCGAUAGCGAACAAGUACCGUGAGGGAAAGAUGAAAAGAACUUUGAAAAGAGAGUUAAACAGUACGUGAAAUUGUCAAAAGGGAAGCGUUUGACACCAGUGUUGUUUUUCUGAAAAUCAAUUAAAGAACUGUUUAUGCUAAGUUGUUUAGACUUUAUCAGCUAACUGUUUAGUUUUGAGCUUUUCUUUAAUGCACUUUUCAGUUAACAAGUCAACAUCAAUUUCUUUUGCUGUAAAAAAGCUUGAGGAAGGUGGCUUGAGAUUCGUCUUAAGUGUUUAUAGCCUCUUGCCUAUGCAGUCGGAGAGAUUGAGGUCUGCAGCGUAGAUCCUUCGGGGCUAAAUGCAUUUGUGCUAAGUUAUAGCAUUUUAUAGACAACUUGUUGACUAUGAUUUGUCUUGUAGCUUACUCGCUUAUGUUAUUUUACCUACGCUUAGGAUGUUGAGUCGUAGAGCACGCAG
rnacentral:rRNA from 1 species